rnacentral:rRNA from 1 species
CGAAUACGAGACGCUACGGCGUCGAAGUAGUGUAUGUCAUACUUCCAAGAAAAGCUUGCACUGUCAUAAAUAAAAAUGCCUGUACCAUAACGGACACAGGUGGGUAAGUAGAGUAUACUAAGGGGCGCGAGAUAACUCUCUCUAAGGAACUCGGCAAAGUAACUCCGUAACUUCGGGAGAAGGAGUGCCUUAUUUAAAUAAGGUUGCAAUAACAAGAUCCAAGCAACUGUUUACCAAAAACACAGGUCUCCGCUAAGUCGUAAGACGAUGUAUGGGGGCUGACGCCUGCCCAGUGCCAGAAGGUUAAAGAAGUUGGUUAGCAUCUGCGAAGCUGGUAACUGAAGCCCUGGUGAACGGCGGCCGUAACUAUAACGGUCCUAAGGUAGCGAAAUUCCUUGUCGGGUAAGUUCCGACCCGCACGAAAGGCGUAAUGAUUUGGAUACUGUCUCGGAGAGGGGCUCGGUGAAAUAGACUUGUCUGUGAAGAUGCGGACUACCUGCACCUGGACAGAAAGACCCUAUGAAGCUUUACUGCAACUUGAAAUUGAAAUUGGACUUUAUUCGCGCAGUAUAGGUGGGAGGCGUUGAAAAUACUCUUGCGGGAGUAUUGGAGCUAUCAGUGAGAUACCACUCUUAUAAUGUUAGAUUUCUAACUUUGAACCAUUAUCUGGUCAAAGAACAGUUUCAGGCGGGCAGUUUGACUGGGGCGGUCGCCUCCCAAACGGUAACGGAGGCGUACAAAGGUUUCCUCUGAACGGAUAGAAAUCGUAUCUAGAGUAUAAAGGCAUAAGGAAGCUUGACUGUGAGACCUACAAGUCGAGCAGGGACGAAAGUCGGUCUUAGUGAUCUGACGGUACUGAGUGGAAAGGCCGUCACUCAACGGAUAAAAGUUACUCUAGGAUAACAGGCUGAUCUCCCCCAAGAGUUCACAUCGACGGGGAGGUUUGGCACCUCGAUGUCGGCUCAUCGCAUCCUGGGGCGGUAGUACGUCCCAAGGGUUGGGCUGUUCGCCCAUGAAAGCGGUACGCGAGCUGGGUUCAGAACGUCGUGAGACAGUUCGGUCCAUAUCCGGUGUAGGCGUUAGAAUAUUGAGAGGAGCCUUCUCUAGUACGAGAGGACCGAGAAGGACAUACCUCUGGUGUACCAGUUAUCGUGCCAACGGUAAACGCUGGGUAGCUAUGUAUGGAGUGGAUAACCGCUGAAAGCAUCUAAGUGGGAAGCCCACCUCAAGAUAAGUAUUCUCAUCA